rnacentral:rRNA from 1 species
UACGUAGGGUGCGAGCGUUGUCCGGAAUUAUUGGGCGUAAAGAGCUUGUAGGCGGUCUGUCGCGUCUGCUGUGAAAAUCCGGGGCUCAACCCCGGACUUGCAGUGGGUACGGGCAGACUAGAGUGUGGUAGGGGAGACUGGAAUUCCAGGUGUAGCGGUGAAAUGCGUAGAUAUCUGGAGGAACACCGGUGGCGAAGGCGGCAUUCUGGACCGAUAUUGACGCUGAGGAGCGAAAGCCAGGGGAGCAAACGGG